CUGGUCAAUCACUCACUUCCUGUCAGCCUUACUGACCAGUCCGGUCUCACUUUGUCUAUUGGCUUCAAUCUUGUUAGAUGCGUGCCUCGAGCCACUAAUUUUUUUACCAAUAUUAUUCACGACGGCAACGUUUUCCACACAAAAUAAACUAUGAAACCUGUG